GACGAACGCUGGCGGCGUGCUUAACACAUGCAAGUCGAACGGUAAGGCCCUUCGGGGUACACGAGUGGCGAACGGGUGAGUAACGCGUGAGUAACCUGCCCUUCACUCUGGGAUAACAGUUGGAAACGGCUGCUAAUACCGGAUAUUCAGCUCCUGACGCAUGGUGGGGGUUGGAAAGUUUUGGUGGUGGAGGAUGGGCUCGCGUCCUAUCAGCUUGUUGGUGGGGUGAUGGCCUACCAAGGCGUCGACGGGUAGCCGGCCUGAGAGGGCGACCGGCCACAUUGGGACUGAGAUACGGCCCAAACUCCUACGGGAGGCAGCAGUGGGGAAUAUUGCACAAUGGGCGGAAGCCUGAUGCAGCAACGCCGCGUGCGGGAUGACGGCCUUCGGGUUGUAAACCGCUUUCAGCAGGGACGAAGCGCAAGUGACGGUACCUGCAGAAGAAGCACCGGCUAACUACGUG
rnacentral:rRNA from 1 species